GGGGCUGUGGCUCAGUGGCAGAGCGUCUGCUUUGCAUGCAGAAGGUCCUGGGUUCAAUCCCCGGUAUUUCCA